AAGAAACAGAAAAAGGCAUUUUGUCCUUGCAUGACGAGUUUGAGACAAUAAGUAUUCAGCUAGUGUCAACAUUGCUGAUGGAUGAUGGAUAUCUGACAUGGUGACAUUAAGGGAGGACAAAGGACGGAGAGCAAAUGGGAGGGGUUAAAGCUGAGCUAUAAAGGUGGUGAGCUCUCACCGACCCUACCACCUCUGUUCCAGACAACCCAUCCACACACAGCUCCACCGAUCAUCCUUAACCAGAGAAAUAUGCAAGAUCCAACUCCCAUGGAAGCCGGUCUCGCCAUUCUAUAUGGCACAUUUGUGAACUAUGCAAGCGGUGAAGGUGACAAUGAUCCCACAACAAUUAGCAAGAAGGAAUUGGCAAAGCUGUUGGAAGAACAACUGCCUCACCUUGGCGGGAAGGAAAUGCUUGAUUGCCUGAUGAAGAACCUAGACGCAGACAAGGACGGCACCUUGAACUUCAUGGAGUACUGCGCCAUGGUCACAACUCUGUCCAUGUGCCUACACAUGGCUUGUAAAUAAGACAUCAAUCUACUCAAUAAAAUGACAUUCAGUGUCGUUGUACUUA